rnacentral:rRNA from 1 species
GUCCACGCCGUAAACGAUGGAUGCUAGCCGUUGGCGGGUUUACUCGUCAGUGGCGCAGCUAACGCAUUAAGCAUCCCGCCUGGGGAGUACGGUCGCAAGAUUAAAACUCAAAGGAAUUGACGGGGGCCCGCACAAGCGGUGGAGCAUGUGGUUCAAUUCGAAGCAACGCGCAGAACCUUACCAGCCCUUGACAUCCCGGUCGCGGGAACCAGAGAUGGAUCCUUUCAGUUCGGCUGGACCGGAGACAGGUGCUGCAUGGCUGUCGU